GCGCGAAAACUUUACAAUGCGGGAAACCGUGAUAAGGGAACUCUGAGUGCCCGUAAAAUCGGGCUGUCCAUCAGUUUAAAUAACUGGUGAAGAAAGGGCCGGGCAAGACCGGUGCCAGCCGCCGCGGUAAUACCGGCGGCUCGAGUGGUGGCCACUAUUACUGGGCUUAAAGCGUUCGUAGCUGGUUUGUUAAGUCUCUGGGGAAAUCUUCCGGCUUAACCGGAAGGCGUCUCAGGGAUACUGGCAGACUAGGGACCGGAAGAGGUGAGAGGUACUCCAGGGGUAGGAGUGAAAUCCUGUAAUCCUUGGGGGACCACCUGUGGCGAAGGCGUCUCACCAGAACGGCUCCGACAGUGAGGGACGAAAGCUGGGGGAGCAAACCGGAUUAGAUACCCGGGUAGUCCCAGCCGUAAACGAUGUGCAUUAGGUGUAUCGGUGACCACGAGUCACCGAGGUGCCGAAGAGAAAUCGUGAAAUGCACCGCCUGGGAAGUACGGUCGCAAGGCUGAAACUUAAAGGAAUUGGCGGGGGA
rnacentral:rRNA from 1 species